GACAGAGGGUGCAAACGUUGCUCGGAAUCACUGGGCGUAAAGGGCGUGUAGGCGGGAAGGAAAGUCAGAUGUGAAAUCCCUGGGCUCAACCCAGGAACUGCAUUUGAAACUCCCUUUCUUGAGUACCGGAGAGGAAGGUGGAAUACCUGGUGUAGAGGUGAAAUUCGUAGAUAUCAGGUGGAACACCAGUGGCGAAGGCGGCCUUCUGGACGGUAACUGACGCUGAGACGCGAAAGCGUGGGGAGCAAACAGGAUUAGAAACCCGCGUAGUCC
rnacentral:rRNA from 1 species